ACUCCCCUCUUUUCCCUCUCCACAGAGGGAAACAUUCACUUCCAUUACAAGCCAGGCAAGCCAAGAACAUCAAUCACCUUCAAGACACACUCCACUGCAGACAGAAACCAGGCAACAUUGCCAGGACUGCCUGCAAAGGGUCAAUUCAACCCAGCAUGGCUCUAGCAGAGAUAUGAAUCACCAGCAGCAGCAACUACACCAAGUGGAUAAAAAUUAUAGGAUGCCGUUCUUGACGAGAGUUACAUAAAUAGAAUAUGUCACAACCAUCCUGAAGAUUUGGACUCUAUCGACACUUCAUGGGAAUGAAGCCAUCAACUGCCUGGGGCUAUGUCUUUGGUCAGAGAUCUAGGUGUCUGUCUUACACCAACUCUGAAGAGUUAAAGAAAACUAUAUCUAUAAACAAGGAAGCAUUUUACAGUCCAAAAGGUGAAUUAGUUUGAUCCUGGAGACUGCUGGUUUCUAAGAACUAUCUAAUUCCAUGCCAUCAAAAGGAUUUCAUCACACUGACAAAGAAUUUCAGAGCCUGAUGCAUGUGGCAUUUCACAAUUAAGCUGAGAGUCUAUUCUCCUUGGCAAAGAAAACAAAGUGAAGAAUCCAGCAGCCCCAUCCUUCUCUCCAUAAUCCAUUGCCAUGAUUCUACUUAUCCUGAGCAGCCAACCAGUCCCUUAUUCAAUCUUCCUCUUUCCUCCAUUGUUUCUACAUUGCUGAAGGACUUCAAGUACUGUCAACCCCCUUUAAAUUGAACUUUCUCUAAAUUCGGUGCCUUCAGUUGAUUUGCCCUAUUAGGUGCGCUCUGGCAUCACACAAGAGAAAUGACCAGCCCAGCUCAUCCUCUCAUCAAAUCACUGAAGAUGAAAUGAAUUUUAAAACAAUAUCCCAGGUGGAUUACACAUUUAGCUACUUAACAGGAGACUUUGCCGGGACCCUCAUUUAUUAUUUUGAAAAGCAAAGCCAGUUACUGCCAAUAAUUAAGUACAGCCUUGUCCGGGUCUCUGUUAUUUUAUACGCUUUAAAGCAGUAGAUUCCGUGGCUAAUAGCCAGCCUCCCUAUUGUAUCCUGAACUUGGCUUUGAAAAAACUUCUGAUAGCUUCCCACUGAGCCAAAAAUAAAGUUAGUGAUCUCCUUUUCA
rnacentral:lncRNA from 1 species